rnacentral:rRNA from 1 species
CCUUAUACACACCGCCCGUCACACCAUGGGAGUUGUUUGGACCCGAAGCCGCCUGGCCAACCCGCAAGGGAAGUAAGCGUCUAAGGUCUGGACAGUGACUGGGGUG